CUUCGUAAUAAAAUGUUUUCAUUUAUGAAACGAACUAGACUCAAAACGGGUUUAAAAUGUUACUCUAGUGAUUUAUUAAAUUGAUAAAAACCUAGUGUAAAAAUACCUGCAGAUUAACUUGAUCUGCAGGAGAUUCGAUAUAUAAUUUAUUGCUUUAAAUUAAUCAACCACUUAUCUGUUUUAAAAUCAGCCGACCUCCACUAUUUUUAUUAAACUCUCCAGCUCAGGCACUCAUUACAGCCAUUCACUCUCCAGCUAAUGCACUCAUUACAGCCAUUCACAAUUGCUGCCUAAGCCUUUUCGGGCCUUUAUAACUGACUCCCUCUACAUCAGAAACUCACACCUCGCUGAUUACUAAAGCUUCCUCCUUCUUUAUUUAUUGUUUCCUUUCUCCUCUUUUUCAAUCUUUCUUUCUGUUCCUUCUGUUUGAAGUGAGUCAGAGAGAAACAGAGUGAGUGAGAGGGCGAGAUGAGAGAGAUCAGGAGAGGACCCACGACCCGGUGAAACCAAGAGCAACCCGGCACCAUUUCAGCAAGCCGGCCUUCGGUGCUUGAACCACGCAGACCAUGCAGCUGGAACCGUACACCACGAUCCGUCCAACCCAGACCGUGCAUGAUUCUGUCAACGUCGAACCCAUCCCAAGCCGAGGCUCAACCGUGCAUGGCGUCAAGACUCAGACCCACAGCCGUGUUCCAUGAACCCGGAAGCCAUAUCCGGUGUGCUGACUCGGACACCCAACCCAUCCAGCUGAACCCACUGAUCCAGAACCCCCUUACCAAGAGACCCAUAGCCAAGAACCCAGACCAGCCAUGCAAUCUUGACCCAGCCCGUGUCCUCCAACUGUGAGCCAGCCCCGAACUGAAACCAUGAGACCCGUGACUCCAGCUUGAAGGCCCGGUCCUCAUGCAACCCAUGUAACCACCAAACACGAGACCAUGCGUGCAUGAUUCAUGCAGCCCAGCAGCCAACGCAGUCCGAACCGUCCAACCCAACCAUGAACCCAGGAAUUCGGCAACUCAGUAAUCUCGACGAGCAGAAAACCAAGCCCCAUGAAGACCCUAGCCAGCACCGAACCCCGUGGAUUCCAAGCCUCCAGUGUUGCUCUUCGGAACCCAUGACCCCCGUGAAGCUCACAAGCUCGGAACAACCGAGAACCCAGCUUGACCGUAGCACCGAAACCCGUGGCCCCUGUGAACCCAGCUAGCCGUAAGCCAUGGCCGAAACCACGAGCUUCCGGCAACCCAACAGCUUGUGGCUGGAACACCGGAAACCGGCCAGCCCAGCCCGACGAUGCUAGCCCAUGCAACUCAUUCCGUGAAUCCCGAAGCCUUUAGUGCUGCUCUUCAUUUUCCUGAUCAUAGCCGAAGCCAUGAGCCCAUGCAUGACCACCGAGACUCGGCAAACCCAGAAACAGAACCAUUGUGGACCCAGUGAACUCAGCAUGCGUGAUCCAGCCGAGAAGAACCAAGACGUGUGCAUGAAACCAUGCAAACCGGACCCAGAUGCCCGUGCGUGACCCCGAACCAUUCCGGCAGAAACAGACCAAACCAUGCAUGCAUCAAUGUCCAGCAACCCCGUGAACCUGAAACCGUGACCACAGCUCGAACCCAUCGACCAUGCAUGCUGGACAUCGUGACCCAGACGAACCAGUAACCAUGCAUACUGAACACCCCGAUCUAGCCAUUCCGAGCAACCGUGAACAGCGAGACCAAACCCAGACCCAUGGUGGUCCGAUCCUCUGUAGAUCGGCGGCCUUGACCAUAAUCCGGCGAGGCAGGGAACGAACCCAGCAAAUCUGAGUCGAUCUGUCCAUACCAUGAUGAAUUGAGACAGCACAAAAGGACUAUGACUGUGCAGGCACAGACACUGACGAGUAUCAGGAUUAUCAGGAGCCUUAUGAUGAUUCUGGUUUCAUAGAUGAGACUGUCUAAAGUCUCCUUCUUAUGAUAGACUUGCUGAACAGUUUAUCUCCCAUGUCGUUAUUAGGUUUUAUUUUAUGUACUUUCUAGACAUCUUAUGCUUUAUUUUAUGGUUUGUAAUAUGACUACUAUUACAUAGAACGUGUGCCGUGGUGGCCCUUAUGUUAUUGCUUUUAUGUGUAUUUAUUUGUAAGACCUUUUAUUAUUAUUUUAAUGUAAGUUGAGGUAUUUAAUUUAAAGGCUCUAAUGUGUUAUUUAA